rnacentral:rRNA from 1 species
GAUGAACGCUAGCUACAGGCUUAACACAUGCAAGUCGAGGGGCAGCAUGAUUGAAGCUUGCUUCAAUCGAUGGCGACCGGCGCACGGGUGAGUAACACGUAUCCAACCUGCCGAUAACUCGGGGAUAGCCUUUCGAAAGAAAGAUUACUACCCGAUAGUAUAGUAUUUCCGCAUGGUUUCACUAUUAAAGAACUUCGGUUAUCGAUGGGGAUGCGUUCCAUUAGAUAGUUGGCGGGGUAACGGCCCACCAAGUCAACGAUGGAUAGGGGUUCUGAGAGGAAGGUCCCCCACAUUGGAACUGAGACACGGACCAAACUCCUACGGGACGCAGCAGUGAGGAAUAUUAGUCAAUGGACGAGAGUCUGAACCAGCCAAGUAGCGUGAAGGAUGACUGCCCUAUGGGAUGUAAACUUCUUUUAUACGGGAAUAAAGUGGAGUACGCAUACUCCUUUGUAUGUACCGGAUGAAUAAGGAUCGGCUAACUCCGUG